rnacentral:rRNA from 1 species
AACUAACGCUGGCGGCGUGCCUAACACAUGCAAGUCGUACGAGAAAGUUGGCUUCGGCCGAUGAGUAAAGUGGCGCACGGGUGAGUAAUGCGUGGAUAAUCUGCCCUUUAGUUGGGAAUAACGUACCGAAAGGUGCGCUAAUACCUGAUAAUACUGCAUAACUACUGUUGUGUAGUCAAAGAAGGCCUCUGUUUACAAGCUUUUGCUGAAGGAUGAGUCCGCGUACCAUUAGCUGGUUGGUGGGGUAAUGGCCUACCAAGGCUACGAUGGUUAGCUGGUCUGAGAGGAUGAUCAGCCACACUGGAACUGAGACACGGUCCAGACUCCUACGGGAGGCAGCAGUGGGGAAUUUUGGACAAUGGGGGCAACCCUGAUCCAGCCAUGCCGCGUGAGUGAAGAAGGCCUUCGGUUGUAAAGACUCUUUCGUCCGGGAACGAAAUACGUAUGGGUUAAUAACCCUGUUGCGGAUGACGGUACCGGCGAUAAGAAGCACCGGCUAACUAACGUGACC